CCCCUAUAUAGAAUUAAACACUCAAAUAGGGCUACUACGCUCACGUCCAACGUUCACGUCACACCAUAAUGCGGCUAUAUGCUACGCCAUUAAGGUGGACAGAAACAUAUGGCUAGCUAGCAUUUUCUAUACAUACUCUCUCAUAAAUACAUAUUUAUAUCCACCGAAAAUCCCAUUUUCGGUAUCUCUCCAAGAGAAAUAAAAAUCGUCAAAAAUUAAAAUGACGUCAAAAUGCUCCACGACAUUAAUUGUUCAUUCAUGAACCAUAGCAUGCAUGUUAUUUAAAACAAAAGUCCACUCACAAAUUAGGCCUAAGCCUGAUGUCGAUCUGGGGCCUCGUCUGCUCGAGCCUCCUCACGUCCUGUUCCAAAUAUAAUAUUAAUUUCCCAACCAAUAAUCCAAUAUUUAAUCAAAAUAGGCAAAAUUACCCGAGANNN
rnacentral:lncRNA from 1 species